AAAAACUGUAGAUUUCACUAUGAGCUCAAAGUUCACUGUGUACAAUAUCACAUUUGUUCUCACUCCAAAACUACCAACCAAUUAGCAGAAAAGGAAAAAAGAAAGAAUACAACCUCACCCACCAAAAAAGAAAUACACAUUCACAUAGAUAUACAAAACACAUCAAAUAUUAAAUCACAAAUACACACAUCUAUACCUACAAUGAAUACCCAAAAAAAGCUAACUAUGGCUUGCAUCUACAGGAGCACCUGUUCUGGCCUGCGAUAUUCGAUUUGCAUAAAUGGUCACCAAUCGUAACUGUGUGCUGUUCAGCCCUUCCAAGUAUGGCAUAAAUGCUUUGCCCAGCAUGAUGUA
rnacentral:misc_RNA from 1 species